CUUCGAAGAUCAUUUUACAAAAAACUACCCCAGGGAAUUAUAGAAAUUUCGCUAUCAAGAAAAUGGAAUCCAAGGAGGAUAAAAAAAAUAAAACGACCAUUAUUGACCUCGAUUUAAAACAACCUUUGCCGGUAAGUUAUCUGGAAAUUAAAGUACAAAAUGAAAUCGAUUUUUACAGACCUAUCGAAGUAAAAUAUCUUGCGGACAGUCUAGAAACGGAGCAAGGUUGGAAAUAUAACUAUCGCACCUUGACCAGCGGAACGCUGAAUUCUAUCGAACCAAACAUUUUAAAAUUCCCAGGUCAAAUCGCAAAACAACUUAGACUGAUUAUUCAAAAUCAAGAUAACGAACCACUCCACA
rnacentral:rRNA from 1 species